rnacentral:pre_miRNA from 1 species
UGUGAGCCUGAUCCAAUAUUCCUUAAGUAGGCAAAGUUGAUUCUUUCACAGUUUUGCCUGCUCAAGGGGUAGAGGAAUAG